UGGGGGAGGCCGUAUCCUGGGAUGUUUCCCUGGCGCCCUGUGCUCCCGGGCCUGCGCUGUUGGAUUUGCGCUCCACCGCAUAGCCACCU
rnacentral:pre_miRNA from 1 species